rnacentral:tRNA from 1 species
ACGAAAGAUUGGUGACUGGUAAGAAUCCACAACAAGUUGUUCUUCGAAGAUGUAUCUGAGGGUCUGUAGCUCAGUUGGUUAGAGCACACGCUUGAUAAGCGUGGGGUCACAAGUUCAAGUCUUGUCAGACCCACCAAAUCUGAUUGCUGAAGCUUAGAUUAAAAGAUAUGUCGUUCAUUAAGUGAUAAGCUGGGGACUUAGCUUAGUUGGUAGAGCGCCUGCUUUGCACGCAGGAGGUCAGGAGUUCGACUCUCCUAGUCUCCACCAUGAAUUAAAAGAGUUUGUAAGAACGAAAUUAAUUCAAAGCUAAGAAGAUUAUAGAGUUUAGUGAAUACAGUCCAAGUUGACUGGUUUAUUAAUCUCUGUGAUUUAUCACAGUUUACUACGCACCGACAAGGUGGUAGUUAAUCAUUAACAGAUUAGUAGAAUUGAGUCUGAAAUAAAUUGUUCAAACUCGAUUAAUUUGACACUAACGGUAAUACGUAAGUAUUUCAGUUAGAUGAAGAGUUAAUCUGAGAACUAGCAAAAACACUGAAUCAAGCGUUUUGGUAUAUGAAUUUAGAUUGAAGCUGUACAGUGCUUAAAUGCACAGACAACGAAUCAGUAGCAAUUAAGUUUGCAACGAUAACACUCACUUGUAUGUGUUAGCGACUGUUUGGGGUUGUAU